UAGCGGCAGGCUUAAUACAUGCAAGUCGUGGGGCAGCAUGAGUAGCAAUACUUGAUGGCGACCGGCAAACGGGUGAGGAACACGUACACAACCUUCCUUCAAGCGGGGAAUAGCCCAGAGAAAUUUGGAUUAAUACCCCAUAAUAUAUUUGAUAAGGCAUCUUAUUAAUAUUAAAGCUUCGGCACUUGAUGAUGGGUGUGCGGCUGAUUAGAUAGUUGGCGGGGUAACGGCCCACCAAGUCUACGAUCAGUAGCUGAUGUGAGAGCAUGAUCAGCCACACGGGCACUGAGACACGGGCCCGACUCCUACGGGAGGCAGCAGUAAGGAAUAUUGGACAAUGGACGAAAGUCUGAUCCAGCCAUGCCCGCGUGAAGGAUUAAGGUCCUCUGGAUUGUAAACUUCUUUUAUAUGGGACGAAAAAAGGGCAUUCUUGUUCACUUGACGGUACCAUAUGAAUAAGCACCGGCUAACUCCGUG
rnacentral:rRNA from 1 species